rnacentral:rRNA from 1 species
UACGAAGGGGGCUAGCGUUGCUCGGAAUCACUGGGCGUAAAGCGCACGUAGGCGGAUUGCUAAGUCAGGGGUGAAAUCCUGGAGCUCAACUCCAGAACUGCCUUUGAUACUGGCGACCUUGAGUCCGGGAGAGGUGAGUGGAACUGCGAGUGUAGAGGUGAAAUUCGUAGAUAUUCGCAAGAACACCAGUGGCGAAGGCGGCUCACUGGCCCGGUACUGACGCUGAGGUGCG